GCCCUGUUAGCUCAGUCGGUAGAGCAUGAGACUUUUAAUCUCAGGGUCACGGGUUCGAGCCCCGUACAGGGCU